rnacentral:tRNA from 1 species
CCUUCGAUAGCUCAGCUGGUAGAGCGGAGGACUGUAGACCUGACAGAGAUCUGUGGACAUCCUUAGGUCGCUGGUUCGAUUCCGGCUCGAAGGA